AGCGCGCGUGUGUGGCACACCAGAGGCAGCCGUCGCAUACGCCACUCCUUGGAAGGCGUAUCUGUUUCACUGUGACGAGUGCGCCACCCACACACACACGGCUUCCCGGGAGCGAAACGGUUUUUGUGCGAGCUCGGCUUACCGAUCUGCUGCUGCCUCCGCAAGGUUGGCCGGGAGGUGUAUCUGGCAUGGUCGCCUAUCUGGUCGCCAUCAGACCGGGGAAAAGUUGGCCGUGCACGAGCAGAAGCGCAUGCACUGCUGUGGGUCUAUAAAUACAGCAGCAAUUUAGAGGGUCAGAACCAGAAUGAUCGGCAAAUAAUGUGCCUCGGCUGGCCCGUGCGUGCGUAUCGAUUAAUUGGAAAACCAUCCUAUGAUCAUUGACGAACGCGGAAAAAGGGGUUAUUUUUGGGAAGUUUUCGAUAUCUCGAACUUCCCCCGACGGACGCAAUGAGAAGUUCUGCCGAAUCCAAUAAGAUUUUGGUUCAUGGUAACGAUAUAAGUGCAAAACAACCAAACGUGAGCAAUUAGUAAGGAAGUUCCAGUGGACAUCAAUAUUUAUGCACGACUUUACAAUAAAAAUACUUGCCGCAACUAUUCUGGGUAUAUAAGCAACCUCAUUUGCCAUCCUCUGGUACAGUUCCAUUCUGUGGACACAAUCGCCUAAAACGAAAAGCCUAAGCCACCCCAAACAAACAAACAGAAAAAACCAUGGCCAACCUUAGCUUCUUCCUGUUGUUGCUGGUCGCGAUCUUUUUGAUUUUCUCCGACUGCAUGGAGGCAGUUUACGGAGCGGAUACAUCGGGGGGUGGUGUAGCGAGCGGACUAACGGACAAAACAUCGGGUGUUUUAGGCGGCACUCGCUAAUAGCAAGAAGAGGUGGCCCGGUUAGUAAUCCGCCGAAUCGAAAAAAUCGGGGUAAUCCGCCGAAAGGAAAAAACCCAAGAUACGACCAAAAUGGCUAAUUCCAAUAAAUAAUAUACAUGUAAUCCUGCACUAAUCAAAAACAAA